GAUGAACGCUGGCGGCGUGCCUAAUACAUGCAAGUCGAGCGAAUGGAUUAAGAGCUUGCUCUUAUGAAGUUAGCGGCGGACGGGUGAGUAACACGUGGGUAACCUGCCCAUAAGACUGGGAUAACUCCGGGAAACCGGGGCUAAUACCGGAUAACAUUUUGAACCGCAUGGUUCGAAAUUGAAAGGCGGCUUCGGCUGUCCAUUAGGGAUGGACCCGCGUCGCAUUAGCUAGGUGGUGAGGUAACGGCUCACCAAGGCAACGAUGCGUAGCCGACCUGAGAGGGUGAUCGACCACACUGGGACUGAGACACGGCCCAGACUCCUACGGGAGGCAGCAGUAGGGAAUCUUCCGCAAUGGACGAAAGUCAGACGGAGCAACGCCGCGUGAGUGAUGAAGGCUUUCGGGUCGUAAAACUCUGUUGUUAGGGAAGAACAAGUGCUAGUUGAAUAAGCUGGCACCUUGACGGUACCUAACCAGAAAGCCACGGCUAACUACGUGCCAGCAGCCGCAGUAA
rnacentral:rRNA from 1 species